rnacentral:lncRNA from 1 species
UCUGACUGAGAUGCUAUCUUGGUCAAGGAGAAAAGGCUCAUAGUCCAAGACCACUCCAGGUGACUGCCUGGGCUCUCCAUUAUGGAGAAACUCAGUUCCAAGAAGAAGGAAACAGAAGCUGUCAGGAUUUUAGAAUGCCCUUUCUCUACAUUCUUUUGGGUAAAGUACUUACAGGCCCAGCUCAGCUUCAAGGAAAAAAUUCGAUGGAUGGGAGAUCCCCCCCAGCCACCACCCCCCCCAACCACACAACUACCUUCCCGACUGGAACCAUUAAAGACCAGCUUGUCAUUCUGUCAUUUUUUUCUUGGGUCCUUGCCAAGCUCCAGCCAAACAAUGUCUCUCUGUGGAGUGUAUUCAGUCAGUAACAGGCAAGAAUAGCCAAGGAGGGCAAAGGGCUAGUUCUACUGGCCCGUCCAUCCACCGAAGCCCACCACUUGGCCAUGCUCAGGAAGACAUUGCCCCCUCGUGGUUCCUCUUAUAACUGAGCGAAAAGCAGAUUGCAAACACAAUCAAUAAAUCAAAACACAAAGUUUCCGAUUAAUUGUAGCUCUUCUUCUGGACCUUUUCUCCCGCUGUUCCAACGACUCUUGGUUUAUUUCCUCCCAGGAGGUACCUUUGUUACUAUAGAGCGCCGUGGCAGUAUGACAGCAACUUAAAACAGUUUCUUUUAGAAACUUUCCCACAUCUCCAGAUGCCAAAAACAAAACAAAACAAAAAAAC